GACGUAGGGGGCUAGCGUUGUUCGGAAUUACUGGGCGUAAAGCGAGUGUAGGUGGUUUUCCAAGUUGGAUGUGAAAGCCUUGAGCUCAACUCAAGAAAUGCAUUCAGGACUGGAAGACUAGAGGACCGGAGAGGAUAGUGGAAUUCCCUGUGUAGUGGUGAAAUACGUAGAGAUUGGGAAGAACACCAGUGGCGAAGGCGGCUAUCUGGACGGUUUCUGACACUAAGACUCGAAAGCGUGGGGAGCAAACAGG
rnacentral:rRNA from 1 species